AUACUUACCUGACAGGGAAGACAAGAUCAGGUAGUUGUUUUUCUGGGAAGAGGUUGAUUCAUUGCACUAUGGAUGUGUUGACCUCUGAUUCCCCCAGGUAUGGGAAACUUUACUGCUAAUUUGUGAUAGUGGGGAAGGCAGGUUCCUUACCUCCCCU